rnacentral:lncRNA from 1 species
AAAGAAAUACAAAGGAAAUUAGAUCAACAAAUUUUGAGGCACAAGAUUUGAAAGAGUAUUCAAUAAAAUUGGCAAGCAAAAAAUUAAGGUACACAAGAAAAGGUAGUACUCAAAUUGAAACCUAGAGAAUGGUACUAGAAUUGGAUGAAAAAAACCAAAAAACAACAUUACUGGAAUUUUGUGUAAAAUUUGCGUAACUUUCAAAAUUUAUGCUGAGCCAAAUACUUCAAAUUUGAAUGUGAAAUUUAAACCACAGAAAACUCAAAAUCUC